GUGAGAUCACAGCCGCGCGCCGAUGUCGCGCCCAGCGCGCCUGACGUGCAGCCGGACAGCGCAGCCGCAGUGCAGGAGCUGUCUGGCUGUUAGCCCUUCAUCUUUGGUUAAGGAAAUGACCAAUCAGUACAGUAUUCUCUUCAAACAAGAACAAGCCCAUGAUGAUGCCAUUUGGUCAGUUGCCUGGGGGGCAAACAAGAAAGAAAACUCUGAGACAGUGGUCACAGGAUCCCUGGAUGACUUGGUGAAGGUGUGGAAAUGGCGUGAUGAGAGGCUGGACCUGCAGUGGAGUCUGGAGGGACAUCAGCUGGGUGUAGUGUCUGUGGACAUCAGCCACACCCUGCCCAUAGCUGCAUCCAGUUCUCUUGAUGCCCACAUUCGUCUCUGGGACUUGGAAAACGGCAAACAGAUAAAGUCUAUAGAUGCAGGACCUGUGGACGCCUGGACUUUAGCCUUUUCUCCUGAUUCCCAGUAUCUGGCCACAGGAACUCAUGUGGGGAAAGUGAACAUUUUUGGUGUGGAAAGUGGGAAAAAGGAGUACUCUUUGGACACAAGAGGAAAAUUCAUCCUUAGUAUUGCAUAUAGUCCUGAUGGGAAGUAUCUGGCCAGCGGAGCCAUAGACGGAAUCAUCAAUAUUUUUGAUAUUGCCACAGGAAAACUCCUGCACACGCUGGAAGGCCAUGCUAUGCCCAUUCGUUCCUUGACCUUUUCCCCGGAUUCUCAGCUCCUCGUCACUGCUUCAGAUGACGGCUACAUCAAGAUCUAUGACGUACAACAUGCCAGCUUGGCUGGCACGCUGAGUGGCCAUGCGUCCUGGGUACUGAAUGUGGCAUUUUGUCCUGAUGACACCCACUUCGUUUCCAGUUCAUCUGACAAAAGUGUAAAAGUUUGGGAUGUUGGAACGAGGACUUGUGUUCACACCUUCUUUGAUCACCAGGAUCAGGGUGAAAGUCUGCUCCUCCAGCUGGAAACAGAGCUCAGAGCAAGAAAGGACCUCAAAGGAGUCUGACCACCCCACCUGGCAUGACAGCCCACCUGCCCACCCGUGUCCUCUGGCAGAAGACAUCAGGGUUGAACAGCCAGUAUCACGACUCCUCAUGCAUCUACUUCAAACUUACUGGGGGCUGGGAAGCCCUGGGACAAGCACGGAAAACCACACGGAGGAGGGCGAGGUGACUCUGCCACCAGGGGACGCUUAUCUGCGAGGCAGCAGGUGUUGGGUGACUCCUGGGGCACUUCCUUGACUGACUCCAGUCCCUAGCCAUCCAACUCCUCAGGACGGCCAAAGGGCCUCUAGCAAGGCGGGCAUUUCAACUGCAGGCGAGGAGGAAGAGGAGGAAACGAAGGAAGGAGCAAGAAGCCAGAACGAGAGCUGAAGAGGUGGAGGACCCCGAGAAAGGAUGGAUAAACAGGAAACAACACAAGGGAAUCCCCUGCAGUCCCUGCAUUUCCAUAAUUACUAAGCUAGGAAAUGGGUUCCUUGGGGUUACCACCUCCUGUCCUUGGCUUCCUGGUGCCUGUGGCUGUGGGCAGCUGCAAGGUGCUGAGCUCUGGAGCCCAGCCCACUGCAGGGAGCCCAGCCACGUCAACUAAUACCUUGAACUGCUCGCCCUUGGCCAAGGGCAAAGAGGCUACAUGAGGGUCCUGACACAACACGGGCAUCGGGCACUGGGGCCUAGCACUGUGUGUGGACUCCCUCCUCAAACUUUCCUACUCAGGUGAGGGAAGGAUCAUGGGAUGCAACCUACGGAAGGUGCUGUAUGUAUGUCCUGCAAACCUUGUACAGUUCUGGUGCUUUCCCCCAAUUAUUGAUUAAAUGUGUACAGACCUACAAGUAGCAAAUGAUAAUUAAAUGGGGUAGAUGUAAACAAGA